AUACUGAUGAAGAGUCCCAAACUAGGACGAAACAGUUGUCCAGUAC
rnacentral:hammerhead_ribozyme from 1 species